CCCUUUUAUUCUUCUUCUUUAAGCAGUUAUGUCUAACAUAAAACUGUAAUUGGAAUGUUUGCAAAAUAGUGAGUAGGAACUAGAAAAAGCAUACUGUUCUCGUGACGUUAUUCAUGUCACAAUUUUCACCUUCUCUGAUUCGCUGUAGUAUGCCAAACCAAAUUAAAUGCCCAAUUUUUUUUUGGGUUCUACCAUGCUAAAGUUAUAGUAUUGAUAGACCUCCUAUCACAUGUGUACACAAGGAGAGGCAAGGGGGAGAGGGCUACACGUGGCUGAGAGUUAGUUAUGUGGGAAAGGGUUGUGUGGGAUGAGGGUGCAGGGUUUUUUGGUGUACCGAGAGUUAGUAAAUAAGAGGAAUUAUUGUAGUCAGGGUGUGGAGAAUUUGGUAAGUGGUAACCAGCAGUGGGAGAGAUUCCUGGCUCUCGAGGGAGCAAUAUUACUGUGACUAUUCAUUUCUUUGUUCUUCUAUUUCUGCUCUAAUCUCAUUUUGCAGGGAAAGUUCCUAUCAAAUUGAUACCAGAGCCCUACAUCUGAUGGGACCAAAGAAGGAUAUGCCGAUGGAGGUCAUCAAAGAGAGGAAAUGGACACUCUGAAAUCCGAGUUUGCUUCAAUGCAAAAGAAAAUGGACUUCCUCGUGGGUCACAUGACUCGGUUACUCCAAGCUUCCGGGCAACCAAGAACAGAAGCAAUCACUGCUAGUAGUAACGACCGACAGCGGAAGACAGUGGAGGCGGAGAUCUCGUCGACGUCGGGACCACCCGCAGCUGCAGUCACAGAGGGUCGACCCAUGGCCUUAUUCCGAUCAUCAAUAUGGUCGGGAUUACCGAUCACCUUAAAUGGAGCUGCCACUGUUCGCAGACGACAAUUCUGAUGGGUGGAUUUUCAGGGUUGAGCGGUAUUUUUUGCUGAAUAGAUUGUCUGAAGCACAUAUGUUAGAGGCGUCUAUCAUUGGGUUGGAAGGGGAUGCACUUUCGUGGUUCCAGUGGGAGAACCAAAGGAGGUCGAUCACUUCGUGGGUGGCGUUGAAAACCCUGUUGCUUUUGAGAUUUCGUACGGUGCUGGUUGGGUCCACGGCGAAGGAGUGGUUGUUGGUGGUUCAAGAUACCACUGUCAAAGAUUAUCAUGUGAAGUGGGAGGCAUUAGCAUCUUGGGUCACUGGGGUACCUGAACACAUUCUGGAAGGGAGUUUUGUCAAAGGGUUGAAGGAAGAGAUCAAGGGGCCUUUACACAUUGUGCUACCAGUGGGCCUAGCCCAAAUCAUGGAAACAGCCCAACGCAUAGAGGAAGGGCACCAGUUAUUAACUUCGGGCCCUAGUGUGAAGACACCCUAUAUGAAGCCCACUCCUAGUUCACUGUCGAUCCCACGAUCUCUACCAUCGAUUUCUUCCAGGAGCUCAUUGACUGCCCCCUUGUUCAGCUCGUCGACGGCGGCCCCGCUUUCUGCAGCUUAGGCCAAAACGGCGACGUCGACCAAACCGCCACUCAUUUGCUGGCUAAUAGAAGCAUAGCAUCAAGACAAAAUAGCUCGGGGAGUUUGUUUCAAAUGUGACAAAGUUCCACAGGGGACAUGAAUGUGAGCAAAAUUUUUUAUAAGUGCUGUUGAUGAUGGAUGAGGAACAAGCAUCUCUUAGUUUUGACUCUCCCACACAAACCCCAGAUUCGUCAUCCGAGGAUAUCCCAGAGGAAACAUUGACCACGCUUUCUCUCAAUUCUUUAGUGGAGAUUUCUUCAGCUCAUACAAUGAAGUUGGCUUGGAAAAUUGGUCAGCAACGAGUCACAGGGCUCAUAGAUAGUGGUGCCACACAUAAUUUCAUCUCCACAGAAGUCAUUCGGGCAACCAAAUUGCCUUUAACGGAGACUACUUGCUAUGGAAUACUGCUAGGAACAAGGAGCAAAGUGCGGGCUGAGGGGAUUUGCUCUCUAGUUAGUUUGGAUUUGGGAGUUGUAACUGACUUUCUGCCACUUGAUUUGGGAGGAGCAGAUGUCAUUCUUGGCAUUAAGUGCCUGGAACCCUGGGGGAAUGCAGGUGAAUUGGCGGACCAUGAUGAUGCGAUAUGAGGUGGCUGGUGCCUUAGUCACAUUACAAGGUGACCCAAGUCUUUGCAAGUCCCAAAUUUUGCUCAAUGUAAUGACAUGAACAGUCCAACAAGAGGGUUACGGCUAUUGGGUACAUAGUCAGAGUUCCUUAGUUCGGGAUGAUAUAGUCACAGAGGGGGUGGUUUCACAAGCAGUGUUGAGGGUUUUGGUGCAACAUGAAGGGGUCUUCAACAUGCCUUUCGGAUUACCGCCAAGACGAGUUCGAGAGCACACUAUUGCACUUAGAGAAGGGGCUGGUCCAAUAUCGGUGCGCCCUUAUCGUUGCGCACAAGUUCAAAAAGAUGAAAUUAAGCAUUUGAUGAUAGAGAUGCUACAGUCCGACAUUGUGCAGCCUAGUACUGGCCCAUUUUCGAGUCCGGUUCUCUUGGUAAAGAAGAAGGAUGGGAGCUGGAGGUUUUGCGUGGAUUAUUGAGCUUUGAAUAGAGAAACAGUGGCUGACAAAUUUCCCAUACCAGUAGUUGAUGAGCUAUUGGAUGAGUUGCAUGGGGCCACCGUCUUUUCGAAAUUGGACCUCAAAUCGUGCUACCAUUAGAUUAGAGUGGCAGUGAAAGAUGUGGAAAAACGGUUUCUCGGACUCAUGACAUUCAUUAUUUCUUGUUAUGCCAUUUGACCUCACCAAUGCUCCCGCUACUUUUCAAGUGCUUAUGAAUGAGGUAUUUCAUGAUUUUUUUGCGAAAAUUAGUCCUCGUUUUCUUUGAUGAUAUACCUGUCUACAGCUCUACGAUGGAAGCUCAUAUUGUUCAUUUGGAGUUAGUGCUCAAUCGCCUUCAGCAGCACAAGUUUUAUGCGAAUUGGAAGAAAUGUUUGUUUGGGCAGCCAAGUGUGGAUUAUCUUGGGCAUAUUAUUUCUGCAGGAGUUUCAAUUGACCCUAGUAAGAUUAAGGCCAUGCAAGAUUGGCCUACUCCUAAGUCACUUAAGGAGUUGAGGGGUUUUUUGGGGUUGACAAGAUAUUACUGCAAAUUCGUCGAAGGAUACGGUGCUAUUGCAAGACCAUUAACGGAUCAACUUUGCAAGGAUGCUUUUGGGUGGAAUUUGGAGGCACAAGAAGCUUUUGACCAACUCAAGGUCACCAUGUACUCGGUUCCUGUUUUGGCAUUGCUGGAUUUUUCAGCUCCUUUUUUGUUAGGGGCUGAUGCCUCGGGGUCGGGUUUAGGUGCUGUCCUAAUGCAGCAACAGCGAUCAAUCGCCUAUUACAGCUAGGUGUUGUCACUAAGGGCCCGCGCCAAGUCCGUCUACAAAACUGAAUUAAUUGCCAUUGUGUUGGCUAUCCAAAAAUGGCGCCCAUACUUGUUGGGAUAGAACUUUGUGGUGUGAAUGGAUCAGCGAAGUUUGAAGUACCUCCUAGAGCAGCGGUUGGUGGCUUUGGAACACCAAAAGUGGCUCACUAAACUCUUAAGAUAUGACUUCGAUAUCCACUACCGUCCUGGCCUAGAGAACAAAGUAGCUGAUGCUUUGUCACAAAUACCGCAGGAAGGAGAAUUGGCUGCCAUAUCAGCUCCUACAGUGAUUUCCAUGCCUGAUUUGCAAGCUCAUGUAUUGGUUGACCCUUUUUUGUCAAAAGUUAUCAAAGAUGUGCAGUCUUGGUCAAGCCAGCGAAGGGCAUACUUACAUUCAGGAUUGUUUAAAGUAUCGUGGUAGGUUAGUGUUGCCCUCUUCUUCGCCAUUUAUCCUUAUUAUUUUGCAAGAGUACCACAGUAGUAACGGGACCACUCGGGAGUCUUUAAAACAUUCCAAAGGCUGGCUAGUGAUCUUUAUUGGCAAGGAAUGAGAAGAUGUUCAGAAGUUUGUAGCCGAAUGUGCCAUUUGUCAACAAAACAAGUAUCUAGCAGAGUCUCCAGCCUGGUUGCUACAACCUCUUCCCAUUCCAAAUCAGAUUUGGGAAGAUAUCUCCAUGGAUUUCAUCGAAGGUCUUCCUCAUUCUAAUGGGUUUGACUCGAUUUUUGUUGUGAUAGAUCGCCUCUCUAAGUAUGGGCACUUUAUUCCGCUUCGCCAUCCUUUUUCAGCAACCACAUGGGCUGCCACAUUUGUUCGACUUCGUGGGAUUCCCCAAUCUAGUGUUUCAAACAGUGACAAAAUUUUUCUCGGCUUGUUUUUGAAAGAGCUCUUUCUCUUACAAGGUACAAGCAUGAAGCAUAGUUUCGCCCAUCACCCACAGUCUGAUGGCCAAGCCGAGGUUGUUAACGGCUUCUUAGAGGCUUAUUUGCGCUGUUUUGUCAGCUCCAAACCAGAGUAGUGGGCUAAAUGGCUCCCUUGGGCAGAAUAUUGGUACAACACUUCUUAUCACUCUUCAACUGGAAUGACUCCAUUUAAGGCUGUCUGCAAUCGAGAGCCACCACCCUUGAUUUGCUAUGAACCAGCAAG